rnacentral:rRNA from 1 species
GAGCACGUAGGUGGGUUUGUAAGUCAGAUGUGAAAGCCUUCUGUUCAACGGGAGAAUUGCAUCUGAAACUGCUAAUCUUGAGUAUAGGAGGGGAGAAUGGAACUUCUGGUGGAGCGGUGAAAUGCGUAGAUAUCAGAAGGAACGCCGGCGGCGAAAGCGAUUCUCUGGCCUAUUACUGACACUCAGUGUGCGAAAGCUAGGGGAGCAAACGGGAUUAGAUACCCCGGUAGCUAGCUGU